rnacentral:rRNA from 1 species
UACGUAGGGUGCGAGCGUUGUCCGGAAUUACUGGGCGUAAAGAGCUCGUAGGUGGUUUGUCGCGUUGUUCGUGAAAACUCACAGCUCAACUGUGGGCGUGCGGGCGAUACGGGCAGACUGGAGUACUGCAGGGGAGACUGGAAUUCCUGGUGUAGCGGUGGAAUGCGCAGAUAUCAGGAGGAACACCGGUGGCGAAGGCGGGUCUCUGGGCAGUAACUGACACUGAGCUGCGAAAGCUAGGGGAGCAAACAGG